GAGUUUGAUCCUGGCUCAGUACAAACGCUGGCGGCACGCUUAACACAUGCAAGUCGAACGGUGAUAUAAAGAAAUUACUUAUGAUAUCUUAUUGGCGGAUUGGUGAGUAACACGUGAGCAACCUGCCUUGGAGAGAGGGAUAGCUUCUGGAAACGGAUGGUAAUACCUCAUAACGUACAGAGACCGCAUGAUUUCUGUAUCAAAGAUUUAUCACUCUGAGAUGGGCUCGCGUCUGAUUAGCUAGAUGGUGAGGUAACGGCCCCCCAUGGCGA
rnacentral:rRNA from 1 species